CGAGGGCUGGGCCUGCGCGCGCGCUUCCGCAGCGUGCUGUGCGUGCUAUGCGUGCAUGCGUGCCUGGUGCGCGCGCACGCAUCGUAGGCGGGAAUCCCAGGCCCGCCCUCCUUCCGCCUUGGCGGCUUCCUCCCUCCUGAGAGCUCUGUCCGCCAACGGUGCGGCUGCUCAGAGGGGAGUCUGACACCAUGAGAGGUUAAGAAACUAAUCAAGAUCAUAACAGCAAAAACAGGGCAGAGCCAAAUUUGGAACCCAGUAUUUUAUAACUCCAAAUCUAAAAGAACUUGCAGCCACUGACCAGACCCCUUUCAAUUAUGUCAGGGAAACUGAGUAAGCUGGUUGUUACACAUUUACCGGGACACCGCCGCUCAUCUCCCCUCUCAAUGAUCAGGUGAUGCAAGAGGGAAAAGCCUGAGACGGAUUCACAAAUGGCUCGAUUGGGUUUGUUGGUGAAAGCUGGAAAUGAACAGAGGCUGCACUGCCGCCUCA